UACGAAGGGGGCUAGCGUUGCUCGGAAUCACUGGGCGUAAAGCGCACGUAGGCGGAUUGUUAAGUCAGGGGUGAAAUCCUGGAGCUCAACUCCAGAACUGCCUUUGAUACUGGCGAUCUCGAGUCCGGGAGAGGUGAGUGGAACUGCGAGUGUAGAGGUGAAAUUCGUAGAUAUUCGCAAGAACACCAGUGGCGAAGGCGGCUCACUGGCCCGGUAACUGACGCUGAGGUGCGAAAGCGUGGGGAGCAAACAGGG
rnacentral:rRNA from 1 species